GCGCCCGUAGCUCAGCUGGAUAGAGCGUCGGUUUCCGGUACCGAAGGCCGCAGGUUCGACUCCUGCCGGGCGUA
rnacentral:tRNA from 2 species